rnacentral:rRNA from 1 species
AUGAAAAUCUUAUCCUAGAACUGUCGAGGACUUGGGUUGGACUCGACGGUGGGCGAAUUACGAGACCUGGUUAGGUCCUACAACCUAGCGGUGGUGUUCUUAUGUCAAACGAAGAAGAAGGCGAGAGCGAUGGGCAUGCUUAAAUGGAGUUUGGGUUUUAGAAAUGGGGUGGCUGUGGACUAUAAUGGAAAGAGUGGGGGCUUGGCCCUUUCAUGGAGAGACCAUGUUCAGGUCACAGUGAGAUCGUGGAGUCAAUACUUCAUUGAUGCUGAGAUUUUGUGUGAGGGGAAGACCUCUAGGAUCACUGGAUUCUAUGGGGAGCCAAAUACAGAAACAAGGAAGAAAUCUUGGGAGGCAAUCCGAUAUCUAUGA